AUGUCCCCUUGGUGACACGAGGUCAUGAAGGGUGCUCAUGAUCUCCAUGGUUCCAUCAGGUCCCACAGAGUCAUAAUGGUCUCUGGGUUUCAUGAAGCCCUGCUGUGUCACCACAGCCCCUUGGUUCCAUGGGCUCCAGUGGUGCCACAAUGAUCCCCUUGGUUUCGUGAGGUCCCCACAGUGUCCCAGUGAUCUCCAUGGGAAGGAAAGAACCGACCCCCAGUGUUGCAGGGGCAGUCACCAGAGGCCAAGGCUUGAUGGUACUGGCAGAUUUUGCCUGGAAGCAACCCUUGGAUAUACAGAAUUUUAGAGGUGGAAUCCCAGUUUCAGACAUGGACACCUGGGGGAGAAGCACAGUUGUUUUCCAUAGGAAGGAAAGCACAGAACAGAGGUGUUUCCAGGGCAGAUGAAAGGCAGCCAUCAGAGGCCUAGGACAGCCAGACCUCUCUGUCCUGGUAGCUUUUGUCUGAAAGCAACCCUUGGAUAUAGCAAAUUUGGGAGGUGGAAUCCAAAUUUAGGCCAUUUCUGUGUAGAUAAGAAGGAUGGUUCUUUUCCAUGGGAAGGAAAGCACAGAGCCCAAGAGUUUCAAAGGCAGAAGAGGAGAGAGGUGGCUCUCGGGAGGCCAAGCCAGCCAGACCUGUUUGUCCUGGCAGCUUUUGUCAUGGAGGAAUCCUUGGAUAUAUGGAAUUUGGGAGGAAGAAUCUCAAUUUUGUGCACAGGCACCUUGAGAAGAAGGAUGGUACUUUUCCAUUGGAAGGAAAUCACCAACCCAAUGUGUUUGGUAAGCAGGUGAGAGGCAGCCCCCAAGAGGCCAAGGGCAGCCAGACCUGUCUGUCCUGGCAUCUUUCAUUGGGGGAAAAUCCUUGGAUGUAUGGAGCUCUUGAGAUGGAAUCCCAGAUUUGACCAUGGGCACCUGGUCAAGAUGAAUGGGGGUUUUUUUGUACUGGAAAAAAAGUGUGAAGUCCAAGUGUUCUGGAAGAAGAUGAGAUGUGGCCACCCUUAGGCCAAGCCAGUCAGACCUGUCUCUGCUGGCACCUUUUGUCUAGGGGCUACCCUUGGCCAUAGGGCACUUUGGAUGUGGAAUCUCAAUUUUGGCCGUGGGCACCUGGACAGGAAGAAGAGUUCUUUUCAUUACGAAGGAAAGCACAAAGCCCCAGUGUUUUAGAGGCAGAUGAGUAGCAGCCCUCAGGAAGCCAAGGCCAGCCACACUUGUCAGUCCUGGCAGCUUUUGUCUGGGAGUUAUCCUUGGAUAUAGGGAAUGCUGGAGGCAGAUGCCCAAUUUUAGCCAUGGGUGCCUGGUCGAGAUGGAUUUUUUUCCCAUAAGAAAAAAAAUCAUAUGGUCCCAGUGUUUCAAAGUCAGAUGAGAGGUGGUUCCUGGAUGGCCAAGGCAGCCAGAGCUGUCACUCCUGGCAGAUUUCAUCUGGGAACAAUCUUUGCAUAUAAGGAAAUUUGGAGGAGGAAUCCCAGUUUUGACAAUGGGCCCCUGGAGGACAAGGACAGUUCUCUCCCAUAGGAAGGAAAGCCCAGAGCCCCAGUGCUUCAGGGACAGAUGAGAAAGCAGCCCUCGACAUGCCAAGGGCAGACAUCUGCUGAUAACAGGCUAUUGAAUGUCACUGCAUGACUGAUAAGAACUACAGCAUCCCAUUGUGAGAUGAUCUGCCCAGAGGGGAGAACCAAGCAUUCCUACCAGAUAUAAUCUUAAAAAUUCUGGAACACCAACAUGGCUUUCUCCACUGGAUUUCCCAGAGGAACAGCUGCUGCCUCUUCCACUGGAUCUUCAGAGGAAGACUACACCUUUCUACAGGAUCCCUGCUCAAACAGAACCGCACCUGACACUCCAGGAGGAGUGCAGCCAUAUUUCCAAUUGGACUGCUACCAACACCGUGACCAGCAGGGUGUCAGGUUGUGUUCUGACUCUGUCAGUGUUGUCUUGCUUUACUGCAUUGUUUAUUUUAUCUUUUUAUUUGUUUCCCUAAUAAAGAACUGUUAUUCCUGCUCCCAUA